CUGACUGUCUGUCUCCACUGUCUGUCUUUGAAACAGAGAGACCCUUGGUGUUUAUUGGGACCAUGCUGGUCUCCACUGUACCUACUGUCUGUCUGGCUGAGUGACUGGCUAACUGACUGGUUAACUGACUGACUGUCUGUCUGGCUGAGUGACUGGCUAACUGACUGUCUGUCUGGCUGAGUGACUGGCUAACUGACUGACUGUCUGUCUCCACUGUCUGUCUUUGAAACAGAGAGACCCUUGGUGUUUAUUGGGACCAUGCUGGUCUCCACUGUGCUGACUGUCUGUCUGGCUGAGUGACUGGCUAACUGACUGACUGUCUGUCUCCACUGUCUGUCUUUCAAACAGAGAUACAGACCCUUGGUGUUUAUUGGGACCAUGCUGGUCUCCACUGUGCCUACUGUCUGUCUGGCUGAGUGACUGGCUAACUGACUGACUGUCUGUCUCCACUGUCUGUCUUUGAAACAGAGAGACCCUUGGUGUUUAUUGGGACCAUGCUGGUCUCCACUGUACCUACUGUCUGUCUGGCUGAGUGACUGGCUAACUGACUGACUGUCUGUCUCCACUGUCUGUCUUUGAAACAGAGAGACCCUUGGUGUUUAUUGGGACCAUGCUGGUCUCCACUGUACCUACUGUCUGUCUGGCUGAGUGACUGGCUAACUGACUGACUGUCUGUCUCCACUGUCUGUCUUUGAAACAGAGAGACCCUUGGUGUUUAUUGGGACCAUGCUGUCUCCACUGUACCUACUGUCUGUCUGGCUGAGUGACUGGCUAACUGACUGACUGUCUGUCUCCACUGUCUGUCUUUGAAACAGAGAGACCCUUGGUGUUUAUUGGGACCAUGCUGGUCUCCACUGUACCUACUGUCUGUCUGGCUGAGUGACUGGCUAACUGACUGACUGUCUGUCUCCACUGUCUGUCUUUGAAACAGAGAGACCCUUGGUGUUUAUUGGGACCAUGCUGGUCUCCACUGUACC